CCCUACGGGGCGCAGCAGGCGCGAAACCUUUACAAUGCGGGCAACCGUGAUAAGGGAACCUCGAGUGCCUGUAAACGCAGGCUGUUCAGGUGUUUAGAACGCACCUGGAGAAAGGGCCGGGCAAGACCGGUGCCAGCCGCCGCGGUAAUACCGGCGGCUCGAGUGGUGGCCGCUUUUAUUGGGCUUAAAGCGUUCGUAGCAGGGUUGUUAAGUCUCUUGGG
rnacentral:rRNA from 1 species